UUUCUUUAAAUUUAGAAUCUAUCACNUAUAUUAAUUUNNGUUGGUUUUCCAACUAUGGUGAUAAACGAAAUUCGUAAUAAACAUUUCGGACCAGGGGGCGGUACCCUGCACCUCCACCAAAUACAACUCAUGGGGGUG
rnacentral:tmRNA from 2 species